ensembl:lncRNA
AUGAUGCUGCCGGUCCUAGGACCACAUUUUGAGAACCCCAACCACGCAUGGAUCGUUGUCAACUAUGAAUCACAAGAUUUCCAGGGUUUCGGCUGCUGCCUUCCCUGCAAGCCCUGCCAUCCACUGAGACCCAACCUCAGCCAUUCUUGGCAUAUCAGCCCAUGAGAAGUCUGCCACUCUUGUUUCAUAAGUAAAGCAGCAUCCUUCAGGGCCUGGAGCUCCUGGACGCAAAAGCCAUUUCUGGUAGGUGAGUAGUAUAGCUCUCAAUGGUAAGUAAGUGAGUUAAAAGGCGGGUUGCUGUUCUUUGGUCUUAAACAUUUUCUUUUAGUCAUGCCCAUCUCUCUUCUGGUUCUUUAAAAAGUUUCUCAAUUAAUUUAGAAAGUUAGUGACUAACGAGAUAACCAUCAACAUAAUGAACACAUGUGUUACACCUUGCUUUCCUAUGUGUUCUCUCAUGUAAUCCCAGCUCCUUUGUAAUAUUAGGUUGGUGCAAAAGGCAUUGUUGGUUUUGCCAUCUCUUUUCAUGGCAAAAACUGCAAUUCAUUUUGCACCAACCUAAUACUUGCUUUCUCUAAAGAUUUAUGGUCAUUUUUAACAGUGACCCACAAUCUAGAUGAGACAAUGGGGAACAGCUAAAAGCAAGGAAGGCAGAAAUAUGGCUUAUGCCUUAGCAAGGCCCUUCACAUGCAUUUUCAACUAGAGGAAGUCAAUCAGACUAGAUGUGGAUAUGGGUCCCGUGUGCUUGGCUAUGGCUUCAGAAGCAAACUGCACUCAAAGGGAACCUCCUUCCAGGCUCCCAGGUCGAGGGGCUCUUCCUGAGGAGGUUUUUCAGGGACAAACAGUAUCUGGGACAGAGCUAGGCAGUGAACAUUAAAAGUGAGAUAGUACCCCUUGACACUGUUGUUUAGACAAGGUCAAGAUAAUUUUUCUUCCAUUUCCUCUUGUAAUCUCAAAAAAACAGGUGUGAUUCUUGUUGGCCUUGAGGAGAAAAAGUGGCCUAUUCAAGGCCUCCUCCACAACAGACUGACUUGAUUCCUCCACUGAACUCUCUGCCCAUAAGGCUGCUCUGCCUCCUGAAGCCUCUUUCUUCAUCCUUCAAGGAGUUGUCCAAAUGCAAAUUCUCCUCCUGUUGAUGGCUCUGCAUUGGUGUCAAUUGCUUCUGAUGGAAACACUUAUUGUACACAAAAACCUAGCCCCAAAACAGGAGAAAACAUAAUCUUUGCUUGUACCUAGUAUUUCCAAUUUUUAUGCACUUUUCCGUUCAUUCUCAUAACAGUUCCAAGAGCUGGCUAGAAAAGGUGUCUUCCAGGUGAGUAAGUUGAGAGUCAGCAAAUCAAACAAUUUGCCCAAGGCCACGCAAUGCUUUGCCCAGUUAUUCUAAGUCCCAGUUCAGGAGGUAGGAGAAAGAAAGACGGGGAAUAAGACUGGUAAGAUUGGUCUUAAGGAAACAUCUACAACUGUUUGGUAGCCUCAAUACUCACACUAACCACACUUAUAUGCCUCACCCGAAUAAGGUGAGCCAACCUCUGAAAGCAUUUGAAAAUGGAAAAAAUGCUUUAUCCCUGAAUAACCCUUUCUAUUGUUUUAAAAGUUCCUGGAAAACAGUGAACACUGUGGGAUUACUGCUUGUGAAUAAUCGUCCAAAUUGAUCCAAAAUGUUCUUCUUUGACCCCUGA